ACGGGGCGGGGCGGGCGCCUCUCCGGCGCUCUGCACCCGCACGGCCUCGCCCCUCCCAGUGUUAAUCUUCUUGCUGCUUAAACGCGCAAGAGUGCUCUCCUUUCCCCGGACCUGGGCCCUCUCCCCGAUACCCCUGAGGGCCGUCGAGGGCCAGGGAGGGGACCCGAGGAGUCGCGCCCUUGGAGUGCGCAGCGGUGCCCGAAGAGAGAGGGGCGGGGCAUCCAGGAGCGAGGGAAAGCCUGGGAAAAGCGCGGUCGGUCGGCGCGGCGGCGGCACUGGCGGCGUCCCCUGCUGCCGGGAAGCAGACAAUAAAAGGAAGAAAUGGCCCUGCCUGGUGGCACAGCGGGUUAGGACGCAGCACUGCAAGCUGGCCGCACCCACCUCUGUGCGAGUUCGAUUCUGGGCCAAGGAGGUGACCCACAUGGCUAGCAGGCUCCUCCUGUCUCACCAGCUGCACCCCUCAAUAGUGCACUUCGUUGACUUACCUGUCCUGCUCCCCACUCUCUCUGCAGGUGAAAGCACAGCACAAAGAAGCUGAAGUCUGUUCC